UUAAAUAAAAUCUUUAAAAAAAAAAAAAUUGUAGUGAUACAGAGAAAAUUAGCAUGACCCCUGUGCAAGGAUGACACGCAAAUUUGUGAACUGUUCCAUAUUUUA
rnacentral:snRNA from 1 species